rnacentral:rRNA from 1 species
UAAAGUGUGUCAGUGGCUAAAAAGCUCGNAGUGCGAACCUUGGGCCUAGGCUGGCCGGUGCCCCCUCACCGGGAAGCACUGAUCCAGCCGGGCCUUUCCCUCUGUGGCAACCCCAUGGCCUUCACUGGCUGUGCAGGGGGAAACAGGACUUUUACUGUGAAAAAAUUAGAGUGCUCCAGGCAGGCCUAUGCUCGAAUACAUUAGCAUGGAAUAAUAGAAUAGGACGUGUGGUUCUAUUUUGUUGGUUUCUAGGACCGCCGUAAUGAUUAAUAGGGACAGUCGGGGGCAUCAGUAUUCAGUUGUCAGAGGUGAAAUUCUUGGAUCUACUGAAGACUAACUACUGCGAAAGCAUUUGCCAAGGAUGUUUUCAUUGAUAAGGAACGAAAGUUAGGGGAUCGAAGACGAUCGGAUACCGUCGUAGUCUUAACUAUAAACU